rnacentral:rRNA from 1 species
GAUGAACGCUAGCGGCAGGCUUAAAACAUGCAAGUCGAGGGGCAGCAUGAGUGUAGCAAUACAUUUGAUGGCGACCGGCAAACGGGUGCGGGACACGUAUACAACCUUCCUAUAAGUGGGGAAUAGCCCAGAGAAAUUUGGAUUAAUACCCCGUAACAUAAUGAUGUGGCAUCACAUUAUUAUUAUAGCUUCGGCGCUUAUUGAUGGGUGUGCGGCUGAUUAGAUAGUUGGCGGGGUAACGGCCCACCAAGUCUACGAUCAGUAGCUGAUGUGAGAGCAUGAUCAGCCACACGGGCACUGAGACACGGGCCCGACUCCUACGGGAGGCAGCAGUAAGGAAUAUUGGUCAAUGGACGCAAGUCUGAACCAGCCAUGCCGCGUGAAGGAUUAAGGUCCUCUGGAUUGUAAACUUCUUUUAUCUGGGACGAAAAAAGGCGAUUCUUCGUCACUUGACGGUACCAGAUGAAUAAGCACCGGCUAACUCCGUGCCAGCCGCCGCAGUAAAAC